UUAUGCCCCAGAGGAUGUGUACAGGUUCCUGCCGACUAGUGUGGGGGAAUCACGGACACUUAAAGUCAAUCUGCGAAAUAAUUCUUUUAUUACACACUCACUGAAGUUUUUGAGUCCCAGAGAGCCAUUCUAUGUCAAACAUUCCAAGUACUCUUUGAGCAUCCAAGAAAUUAUAAAUACAUUUAAGCUGAAUGUGGCUUGACCGAGCUCUUUCCUCAACACCUGAGCCAGGCACUGUGCUGCCUGGGACAGGGUCGCGGGUGCUGUCAUGACAUGCCACUGUCAUGUGCCUCUCUCUUUCUAGAGCCCAGCAUUACAUCAACAUGCCCGUGCAGUUCAAACCGAAGUCCGCAGGCAAAUUUGAAGCUUUGCUUGUCAUUCAAACAGAUGAAGGCAAGAGUAUUGCUAUUCGACUAAUUGGUGAAGCUCUUGGAAAAAAUUAACUAAAAUACAUUUUUGUGUAAAUUACAUAAGUUGUAUUUUGUUAACUUUAUCUUUCUACACUACAAUUAUGCUUUUGUAUAUAUAUUUUGUAUGAUGGAUAUCUAUAAUUGUAGAUUUUUUUUUACAAGCUAAUACUGAAGACUUGACUGAAAUAUGUAUCUAGCCUACAGUAUUGUACUUAACUUUUACAGGUGAGAAGAGUUCUGUGUUUGCAUUGAUUAUGAUAUUCUGAAUAAAUAUGGAAUAUA
rnacentral:sRNA from 1 species